GGUAGUCCACGCCGUAAACGAUGUCGACUUGGAGGUUGUGCCCUUGAGGCGUGGCUUCCGGAGCUAACGCGUUAAGUCGACCGCCUGGGGAGUACGGCCGCAAGGUUAAAACUCAAAUGAAUUGACGGGGGCCCGCACAAGCGGUGGAGCAUGUGGUUUAAUUCGAUGCAACGCGAAGAACCUUACCUACUCUUGACAUCCAGAGAACUUUCCAGAGAUGGAUUGGUGCCUUCGGGAACUCUGAGACAGGUGCUGCAUGGCUGCCGUCAGCUCGUGUUGUGAAAUGUUGGGUUAAGUCCCGCAACGAGCGCAACCCUUAUCCUUUGUUGCCAGCGGUUAGGCCGGGAACUCAAAGGAGACUGCCAGUGAUAAACUGGAGGAAGGUGGGGAUGACGUCAAGUCAUCAUGGCCCUUACGAGUAGGGCUACACACGUGCUACAAUGGCGCAUACAAAGAGAAGCGACCUCGCGAGAGCAAGCGGACCUCAUAAAGUGCGUCGUAGUCCGGAUUGGAGUCUGCAACUCGACUCCAUGAAGUCGGAAUCGCUAGUAAUCGUAGAUCAGAAUGCUACGGUGAAUACGUUCCCGGGCCUUGUACACACCGCCCGUCACACCAUGGGAGUGGGUUGCAAAAGAAGUAGGUAGCUUAACCUUCGGGAGGGCGCUUACCACUUUGUGAUUCAUGACUGGGGUGAAGUCGUAACAAGGUAACCGUAGGGGAACCUGC
rnacentral:rRNA from 1 species